CGGGGGAUGUGGCGACGGGUGAGUAAACGUGGGCAAUCUGCCCUUCACUCUGGGACAAGCCCUGGAAACGGGGUCUAAUACCGGAUAUCACUUCCACUCGCAUGGGUGGGGGUCGAAAGCUCCGGCGGUGAAGGAUGAGCCCGCGGCCUAUCAGCUUGUUGGUGAGGUAAUGGCUCACCAAGGCGACGACGGGUAGCCGGCCUGAGAGGGCGACCGGCCACACUGGGACUGAGACACGGCCCAGACUCCUACGGGAGGCAGCAGUGGGGAAUAUUGCACAAUGGGCGAAAGCCUGAUGCAGCGACGCCGCGUGAGGGAUGACGGCCUUCGGGUUGUAAACCUCUUUCAGCAGGGAAGAAGCGAAAGUGACGGUACCUGCAGAAGAAGCGCCGGCUAACUACGUGCCAGCAGCCGCGGUAAUACGAUUUU
rnacentral:rRNA from 1 species